ACCAAAACCAGGCCCAAGCAAUAACUUUAAUGUCAUCCACUAAAGAAGAGACAUUAGACAAACUUCCAUUGAAUACCACAUUAUUUCUAAGCUUUCAAGAACACCAAAAGAUAGCUAACCAAAUCAAGUGACUAAUGUGGUUACCUUAUUUUUGGUUUAACCAUAUUUCUGAAGUGUAAAAAGUGAUUUCAUCCUUCCUAUCUAAAGACCUCUUUCCACACACCUUAGAAGGGACGUCAUCUACUAUAAAACUAUAUCGAAAGGUAAAUAUUUCAGUGUUCCAUAAAGACCAGGGACGGAACCAGAAAAAAUCAUCGGGGGUGGCGGAAAUAUUUUUAAUAUAUACGAGUAGCUUAGGAUGAAUCAGAAUCAUCGGCUUCUCUCUUCUAUUUUUUUUUUUGGUCAAGUAGGCUUCUCUCCUUAAAGAAUGAUGAAAAAUAUUUUCGAGUUACCAUGCUUCAAC
rnacentral:lncRNA from 1 species